rnacentral:tRNA from 1 species
GGUCCCAUAGCUCAGUUGGUUAGAGCGUCGUACUAAUAUUCGAGCACCUCGAAUACGUGGUAAUGCGAAGGUCUCAGGUUCGAGCCCUGGUGGGACCA